rnacentral:rRNA from 1 species
GACGAACGCUGGCGGCGUGCUUAACACAUGCAAGUCGAACGGUGAAGCGCCUUCCUUUUUGGUGGGUGUGGAUGAGUGGCGAACGGGUGAGUAACACGUGAGUAACCUGCCCCCUUCUUCUGGAUAACCGCAUGAAAGUGUGGCUAAUACGGGAUAUUCUGGGUCUGUCGCAUGAUGGGUCUGGGAAAGAUAUUGUUUCGGUGGGGGAUGGGCUCGCGGCCUAUCAGCUUGUUGGUGGGGUGAUGGCCUACCAAGGCGGUGACGGGUAGCCGGCCUGAGAGGGUGGACGGUCUCACUGGGACUGAGACACGGCCCAGACUCCUACGGGAGGCAGCAGUGGGGAAUAUUGCACAAUGGGCGCAAGCCUGAUGCAGCGACGCCGCGUGAGGGAUGGAGGCCUUCGGGUUGUGAACCUCUUUCGCCAGUGAAGCAGGCCUGCCUCGUUUGUGGGUGGGUUGACGGUAGCUGGAUAAGAAGCGCCGGCUAACUACGUG